rnacentral:snoRNA from 1 species
GCGUGCCAGUGAUGAUUACAGAGCUAAAAUGGUGAAUUCUGGAUGAGCGUGCUUUGCGCUUGGUGCGCGGCCGUGGUGAUAUCCCUUUCAGUUCAUCUGAGGCACGC